CCAGUGUAUUUCCCAGAAGGAAACUGAUGUCACAUAUAAAUGGGGUAAUUGAGAAGAGUUUCAUAGACUGUUUACAAAUGUGGAUGGUUAAGGGAAACCAAAAUGCAAGAUGUGGUGCAAUGAGUCUAGCCAGAGUGGGGAGCCACACCUAGGCCUAAAGGGUAAUAGGCAGUCGCAGCUAUAGUUAAAGAGAAUGGGAGCCUCUUGGGAGAAGCUCUGGCUUUCAGCAGAAAAAUUCAGCCAAUCCACAGCCAUCAGUGUGGAGGACUUCAGGACACAAUCUCUACAUCCAGUGUGGGACUCAAACUUACAAUCCGGAGAUCAAGAGUUGCAUGCUCUACUGAUCAAGAGUCACACCUCUUUUCUCUCAUCACCAAGAAGUGAGAAUCUAAUUUCCUCUCCUGGAAACCAGAAUGACUUUGUGCCUGGCUUGACCAAUGGAGUGCAGUGGAAGUGAUGCUGUGUGGCUUCCAAGCCUGGGUCACAAGAAAUUUAAUCUUUGAGAACAUGCUUGGGCAGCCCCGAGCCACCAUGUAACUAGUCUAGCUAUCCUGCUGGAAAGAGAAAACCUGUGGCCAAGCUGUGGAUAGUGUGGAGAUAAAGGCCAAGUAGAGAUGCCUGAGAUGCCAGUUGUGUAAGUUAGAAGCCAUUUUGGAUGUUCCAACUAACGGAGACUUUAGCCUUCAGAUGACUCUGCCCCAACCACCAUCUGACUAUAGCCACAUGAAAGUCCUCAAAUGAAACCAGCAGAAGAACCACCCAGUUGAUCCCAGUCAAUCAACAGAUCCAUGAGUGGUGAUAAAAUCAUGAUUGUUUUCAGCUGCUAAUUUGGGGGUGUCUUGUUAUAUAGCAGUAGAUAACCAAGACAUGGGACACCUGGGUGGUUCAGCGGUUGAGCAUCUGCCUUUGGCUCAGGGCCUGAUCCCAAGGUCCAGGAUCAAGUCCCAUGUCAGGCUCCUUGCAGGGAGCUUGCUUCUCCCUCUGCCUAUGUCUCUGCCUCUUUCUGUGUCUGUCAUGAAUAAACAAAUAAAAUCUUUAAAAAACA
rnacentral:lncRNA from 12 species